rnacentral:rRNA from 1 species
GACUACAGGGGUAUCUAAUCCUGUUUGCUCCCCACGCUUUCGUGCAUCAGCGUCAGUAUUGGCUUAGAGAGCUGCCUUCGCAAUCGGUGUUCUGUGUCAUAUCUAAGCAUUUCACCGCUACAUGACACAUUCCGCCCUCCUCAACCAUACUCAAGAUCGUCAGUAUCAAUGGCAAUUCUACAGUUGAGCUGUAGGCUUUCACCACUGACUUAACAACCCGCCUACGCACCCUUUAAACCCAAUAAAUCCGGAUAACGCUUGGGACCUUCGUAUUACCGCGGCUGCUGGCACGAAGUUAGCCGUCCCUUAUUCUUCCCGUACAUUCAGCCCCGAUAGAAAUCAGGGGUUUAUUCCGGGACAAAAGAAGUUUACAAUGCAUAGCACCUUCAUCCUUCACGCGGCAUGGCUGGAUCAGCCUUGCGGCCAUUGUCCAAUAUUCCUUACUGCAGCCCCCCGUAGG